ACCAGGUCUCUGACCUUGCUUCUAACCUGCCUGGAUACUGCCCUGACUGUGAGUGCCUUGACUGCCUGCUAGAGCAACAGCCCUGGUUCUCUUGGGAAGGAACAGCUUGGGGCCCACGCUAGCCUAGCUGUAUAAUGUGACUGAGAUCUCCUGUAACCUGCAACCAGCUCCACCCUCACCUUGACACCAUGAGAGAGAGACUGCUGGAGGCUCCACAGCUCAUCCCCCACAGCGACAGCAGGUUCCUUGGCUGAAUCCUCUGUGCUGCUGCUGCUGCUGCUAAGUCGCUUCAGUCGUGUUCGACUCUGUGCGACCCCAGAGACGGCAGCCCACCAGGCUCCCCUGUCCCUGGGAUUCUCCAGGCAAGAAUACUGGAGUGGGU